AUGACCAUGCCACCCUGAACGUGCUCCAUCUCGUCUGAUCUUAGAAGCUAAGCGGGGUUGGGCCUGGUUAGUACUUGCAUGGGGCGGGGGAGAACUUUUAAAAUAUUAAAUUGGAAAACAGACGAAUUGCAUU
rnacentral:rRNA from 1 species